UUCUUUGGGUUUUGUUUUUUGAAAGGCAGAGAAACAGAGAUCUUCCACCUGCUGGUUCCCUCCCCAAAUGCCCACAACAGCCAGGGUUGGGCCAGGUUAAAGCCAGGAGCCAGGAACUCUAUCUAGAUCUCCCAUGUGGGUGGCAGGGGGCCCAAGCACUCGAAUCAUCAUCUACUACUGCCCAGGGUAUGGAGUAGCAGGAGGCUGGCCCAGAAGCAGAGGCGAGACUGGAACCCAGGCACUCUGACAUGGGGUACGGGCAUCCUCAGUGGUGGAUUAACCUGCUCAUCCUGAGCUGGUGGCAGAGCGCCCACCCCCCCCGAAAACCCUAUUUUGACUUCCUACUGCAGAUCUAAAGAUGAAAGGGAACGUGUGGUGUUGGUGUUGGUGUUGGUGUUGCUGCUGGAGCGACUGCUCUACUUUGGCAAUUUUGUUUCUGACAGGGCUAUAAUGUAGCAAUUUUUUUUUUUUGACAGGCAGAGUGGACAGUGAGAGAGAGAGACAGAGAGAAAGGUCUUCCUUUGUCGUUGAGCAAAUAAGUGAAUACAUUGUAACAAAGGCCAGAUUUCUCAGCAUUGGCAGAAGCAGUUACAAAUAAGGAAAAGUGGAGGGCUAGGAUUAAUCUUAUUGUAGUCGACUGAACUAGAGGGGUCGGUAUGCACUUGUGAUUUUUUUGUAAUUUUUAUUUUUAAUUCAUUUGCUUGAGAGAAGAGAGACAAGAUACAGAGAGCUCUCAUCUGCUAGUUGAUUUCCCAAAUGCCUGCAACAGCCUCUUGGGGCCCAAACCCAGAGCUGAGAGCUCCACCCAGGUUUCCCAAGUGCGCGGGAAGGAGUCAGCUACCUGAGCCGUCAGCAGUGCCUCCCAGGGUCUGCGCUGGCAGGAGCUGGAAUUAGCAGACAGAGCUGGUACUGUGGUGUGGGACACAGGCAGCCUAUGGUAUCUCCAGAUGCCUAGAUAGCAGUGUGUGUGUACUUCCUACACUAAUAGCCCACUAGCUUAGCUCCCAGAUCGUGGUUUCUAAUUAUUCGCCAGUAAAAGGAGCCAGGGCACCUUAGAGAACUGGCUGAGUGGAGGGGUUGGGUCAGGGGGAGAACAAAUGUAUCCAGAGCAUCUUGUGGUGCAGGAAGGGAUAGAAGGGCUCAGAAAAUGACCAGUGGGUGGGUGUUGUGGUGCAGUGGGUUAGGCCACCACUUGGGGCCCUGCAUCCCAUAUUAGACUGCUUGGUUCAAGUCCCAGCCCCUCUGCUUCCGAUCCAGCUCCCUGGCUAAGUUCCUGGAAGGCAGCACACGGUGGCCCAAAGUAUUUGGGUCCCUGCCACCCACAUGGGAGAUGCUGGAUCCUGGCUUCAGCCUGGCCCAGGCCCAGCUGUUGUAGCCAUUUGGGCAGCAAACCAGAGGGUGGAAGAUAUUCUCUCUCUCUCUCUCUCUCUCUCUCUCUCUCUCUCUCUCUCACACACACACACACACACACACAGAAUAUUUAAAAUAAGCAAAUAAUUUCUUUUUAAUGGCUGAGGCUUGAGGCUGGUGGUGUAGUGCAGUGGGUUAGGCCACUGCUUGUGAUGCCAGCAUCCCAUAUCAGUCCUGGUUCAGGUCCCAGCUGUUCUGUUUCUGAUCCAGCUGCCUGGCUAGUGUGCCUGGGAAGGUGGCAGAUGAUGGCCUCUGGGAUGGAGUUCCAGGCUCCUGGCUUUGGCCUAGACCAGUCCCAGCUGUUAACUAUUUGGAGAGUGAAUCAGGGGAUGGAUGAUCUCUCCUUCUCUCCUCUCCCUCUCUCUUCCUCCCUCCUGCUCUCUACCUUUGUUUUUCUUUUUUUUAAAAGAUUUAUUUUAUUUAUUUGACAGGCAGAGAUAGAUAGAUAGAGAGUGGUCUUCCUUCCGCUGGUUCACUCCCCAGAUGACCACAAUGGCCAGAGCUGUGUUGAUCCGAAGCCAGGAGUCAGGAGCCAGGAGCUUCUUCCAGGUCUCCCACGUAGGGGCAGGGUCCCAAGGACUUGGGCCAUCUUCUACUGUUUUCCCAGGCCAUAACAGAAAGCUGGAUAGGAAGAGGAGCAGCUGGGAUUAGAACUGGGGCCCAUAUGGGAUGCCAGUGUUUCAGGCCAGGGCAUGAACCCACUGCACCACAGCGCUAGCCCCAUGCUCUCUGCCUUUCAAAUAAAUAAAUACAUAUUUUUUAAAAUGAUUGAGCCCUGUCAGAAGACACAGAAACCAACUCAAAGGUGCCUCCAAUCCAGAACACACUGAAUAACACAGUAGUUAAUCAUAAUGGCAAAUUAUAGCUUAUAGAAUAAAUAUCCAGAGCCGGCGCUGUGGUGAAGUGGCUAAGCCUCUGCCUGCAGUGCCAGUAUCCCAUAUGGGCACCAGUUUGUGCCCUGGCUCCUGGCUUCAGAUGGGCCCAGCUCUGGCCAUUGCAGCCAUCUGGGGAGUGAACCAAUGAGUGGAAGAUGUUUCUCUCUCUCUCUCCCUCUCCCUCUCCCUCUCCCUUUCCCUCUCCCUCUCCCUCCUUCUCCUUCUCUCUGUAACUCUGCCUCUCAAAUAGAUAAAAAAAAAACUUAAAAAAAAAUGAGUCCCUACAGACAUAAUAAUUGAGUAAAUAAACACAUGGAGAAACAGAGAUCACCUUCCUUACAGUAGGAUUCCAGUGAAUACAUGUGGAAGGAAUGAUGGAAAUGACGACUUGGUUCACAUCAUGCUAAUCAUUUUUGCCAGCAAGAACUUCAGCGAUGCCAAAUGCCCUGGCCCAAUUAGCGAUGACACACGGGGCUGUGGGCUCAGUGCCUGCCACGUUGAAACCUAGUCCACAUGGUGGCUGCAUUAGAAGGUGGGGUGUUGGGGGGCCAUCUGGUCAUGCGUGGGAUCAGUUUCCUUGUUAAAGAGCUUCUGUGGUUAACCUCUCACCAUAGGAGGACCCAGGAGGGCACCACCUUGGAGACACAGGCCCCCACCAUGCACCAGACCCACCAGCACCUUCACCUUGGUUAUCUUAUCCCAGCUGCCAACACCAAGAGAAGGUGGAGUUUCUGGUGUGUAAACCACCAGCGUGUGGUAUGUUUGUUUCAGCAUCCCUAAUAGAUUAAGUCCAAUGGGAUAUUCACUUGGUCUCCCAGUAGCUCCUCCCCAGGGUCUUUCUGGUGACAAAGGGAAAAUAGAAGCUGCAGAUAGAAAUCAGGCACUUGCUUCAUCGCAUGAACAGUCACCAUCAUCUCAGCCUGGUGUAGUCGCACCAUUCAGCCCGUGCGUGCACGCACUGGGCAGGGCACACCAUGUCUGUGGUGUCUCUGCCAAGCAGAUCCAGCCUCAGCCUCCCUCCGGGGACCACCGCAGGCCAAGCCAGAGGGGCUGCAUUCUCCAGAAUCAUCAGGGAAACACAGGCACAUGCUGGUGUGCGACGCUUCCGUGUGAUGAGCCAAUGCAAUUGGCUCCUGGACCAGAAACAGGAUGUUCGUGAAGCCAUUGGCAAGACUUGAAUGAAAUCUACAGAUGAGUUAAGAGUAGUAUAUCGGUAGGAAUCCCCUGAUUUCAAUAAUGUAUAAUAAUUUAUGUGUGUAAUAAUGUAAAAUAAUAAUGUAUGAUGCUAGAAUUAAAGGGUGAGGCUAAAAGGUUCACGGGAUAUGACGUUUGCAACUUUUUGGUGUAACUCCAAAAAGAUUUCAGAAUAUAUUUCAGUGUACAAACACAAAAAGACAAAAUUCAAGGUUGUAAAUCUUAACUUUCAAAAACCUCCUCAUUUGAUUUUUAUUUAUUAACUUAUCCAAAAAGCAGAAUGAUAGAAACUGAGAGACAAAGAGCAAGCAACAGAGAUCUUUCAGCUGCUGAUUCACUCUCUCAAUACCUGCAACAGCCAAGGCUGGGCCAGGUGGACAGCAGGAGCCGGGAACUCUGAGUCUCCCAGGUGGGUGGCAGGCACCAAGUCCACGGCCUCCCCAGGCACAUCAGCAGGAAGCUGGAUCAGAAGUGGAGCAGCCAGGAUGCAAACCAGCGCUCAGAGCCCGUAGAUGGUGGAUGGUGACCUGGCAAUGAAGAACAGACGAAUAACAAAGGCAUUCCCAUGAAGAGGAGGAGCAAAGCAAGGAUGCUUGCAUGGCGAAUAUCUGAUCACUACUUGGAGAGAAAUGAAAGGCACGCAUGUAUGAAGGAAAAGUCAAGUUCGUCACCAUUUGCAAAUGAUAUGAUUCAUACUGGAGAAGUCCUAGCCAGUGGAAUGAACAAAUCGGGGAACUUAGUGCAGUGACUGGGCUCAGACAUACAUAUAUAAAACUUAUAAUCAGUGAUGGCCAAAUAGGAAGCAGAAAAUAAAACAAUUUAUUCACCCAGCAGCAACAACAACAAAAAAGCCUAAGAACAGAAUAGCUGGAAUAGCCAAAACAAUCCUGGAAAAGAAAAACAAAUUCCAUACCAUGAAACUACAGAAAUCAAGGGCACCAAGAGAACUCAAAGGGAGAAGAAACUGUUCAACAAAUAGUGCUGAGACAACCUGGGUAUCCAUACGUGGAAUGGUGAAAUUGGGUCCUUAUCACGCACCACAUAGAGAAAUUAACUCAGGGGUCAGCACUGUGGUACAGCAAGUAAGCUCUGCUUGGGACUCUGGCAUCCCUUAUUGGAGGGCCAAUUUGAGUCCUGGGUGUUCUGAUACUGCUCCAGUUUCCUGCUAAAAUGCCUGGGAAGGCAAUGGAUGAUGGCUCAAGUAAUUGGGCCCCCGCCACCCAAGAAUGGAAAAUCAAUCUCUCUCUCUCCCUCUCCCUUUCUCCCUCUCUCCCUCUCUCCCUCUCCCUCUCUCUCUCUUCCUCUCUUUCCGU